CUACGUGCCAGCAGCCGCGGUAAUACGUAGGUCCCGAGCGUUGUCCGGAUUUAUUGGGCGUAAAGCGAGCGCAGGCGGUUAGAUAAGUCUGAAGUUAAAGGCUGUGGCUUAACCAUAGUACGCUUUGGAAACUGUUUAACUUGAGUGCAAGAGGGGAGAGUGGAAUUCCAUGUGUAGCGGUGAAAUGCGUAGAUAUAUGGAGGAACACCGGUGGCGAAGGCGGCUUUCUGGACUGCAACUGACACUGAGGCACGAAAGCGUGGGUAGCAAACAGGAUUAGAUACCCUGGUAGUCCACGCCGUAAACGAUGAGCACUAGGUGUCGGCCACUAAAGGUCGGUGCCGCAGUUAACGCAUUAAGUGCUCCGCCUGGGGAGUACGCACGCAAGUGUAAAACUCAAAGGAAUUGACGGGGACCCGCACAAGCAGCGGAGCAUGUGGUUUAAUUCGAAGCAACGCGAAGAACCUUACCAGAGCUUGACAUCCC
rnacentral:rRNA from 1 species